GACCUCAAAUCAGGUAAGAAUACCCGCUGAACUUAAGCAUAUCAAUAAGCGGAGGAAAAGAAAAUAACAAUGAUUCCCUCAGUAACGGCGAGCGAAGAGGGAUAAGCUCAAAUUUUAAAUCUGCUGGGUUUUCACCUAACAGAGUUGUAUUUUGAAGAAACGUUUUCUGCGUCCAGGUUAGCCUAAGUCCUUUGGGAUAAGGUAUCAUGGAGGGUGAGAAUCCCGUUCAUGGUUAAUCUUAAGGAUGCUCUACGAUACGUUUUCCAAGAGUCGAGUUGUUUGGGAUUGCAGCUCAAAAUGGGAGGUAAAUUUCUCCUAAGGCUAAAUAUUGGCGAGAGACCGAUAGCGAACAAGUACCGUGAGGGAAAGAUGAAAAGAACUUUGAAAAGAGAGUUAAACAGUACGUGAAAUUGUUGAAAGGGAAACGAUUGAAGUCAGUCAUACCAACGGGAAAUCAACCUUUUGAGCUUUGUCUCGUGGGUUCGAAGAGUUUAAACGCCUUCGGGUUCGCGAGAUUGGGAUCUUCUGGUGUACUUUCUCGUACGGUUAGUCAACAUCGGUUUUGAAUGUCAUAAAAUGACUGGAGGAAUGUAGCUUCGAUCUCGUAUCGAAGUGUUAUAGCCUUUGGUAGAUGUGAUGUUUGAGACCGAGGAUUGCAACGGAUACCCUUUAAGGGCUAUUCGUCUGAUCUCUGAUACGUUGCCUUGACGUUGAAAGCUUGCUUAUGAUGUUAGGGUAUUACGGUCAAAAGGUUAGAACGGAUUAAAUUCGUUAAGGAUGUUGACGUAAUGACUUUAAACGACCCGUCUUGAAACACGGACCAAGGAGUCUAACAUAUAUGCGAGUGUUUGGGUGGUUAAACCCUUGCGCGUAAUGAAAGUGAUUUUGGUGAGAUCCGGGAAAAAU
rnacentral:rRNA from 2 species